rnacentral:lncRNA from 1 species
UUGGUAGUUGAGUAAACUGACCAAGGCUAAGGUGAUUCGACCAGCCAAGUGUUAGAUUGGUUUUAGACCAAUGGUUAACUACAGAAUAAUCCGCUGCGUAUCUGUUGAAAGGAUCUAGGCUAUUAAUGACUAGGGAUGUAGCAUCGCCGAUCCUAGGUAGGAUCGUUGGGACGAGCCAUGGUGAGAGGAGACGCACCAGACAGGUCAUUUGGCC